rnacentral:sRNA from 1 species
CACCACCCCCAGCUAAUUUUUUGUAUUUUUAGUAGAGACAGGGUUUCACCAUGUUAGCCAAGAUGGUCUCGACCUCCUGACCUCGUGAUCCGCCCGCCUCGGCUUCCCAAAGUUGGAGUUGUUCUUAAACUGUUUUUACUCUUCCCUGCAGACACCAUCAUCCGAGCAGUAUUGAUUUUUGCAGAGGGAAUUUUUACAGGUGAAAGCCACGUGGUACAUCCCAGCAUUCACAACCUCUCCAGUUCCAUCUGCAUCCCUAUUGCGCCUCCCAAAGAUGUCCCUGUGGAUCUGCACUUGAAGGCAUUCGUGGGUUACAGAAGCAGCACCCAGUUUCAUGUAUUUGAAUUGACAAGACAGCUCCCUCGAUUCUCCAUGUAUGCGCUGACCAGCCUGGACCCUGCCAGUGAGCCAAUCAGUUAUGUUAACUUUACCAUUGCAGAACGGG